UGCGGGUACUCGAGUGGCGAACGGGGGAGUAACACGUGGGUGAUCUGCCUUGCACUUCGGGAUAAGCUUGGGAAACUGGGUCUAAUACCGGAUAGGACAGCUGUUUAGUGUCAGUUGUGGAAAGUUUUUUCGGUGCAAGAUGAGCUCGCGGCCUAUCAGCUUGUUGGUGGGGUAAUGGCCUACCAAGGCGUCGACGGGUAGCCGGCCUGAGAGGGUGUACGGCCACAUUGGGACUGAGAUACGGCCCAGACUCCUACGGGAGGCAGCAGUGGGGAAUAUUGCACAAUGGGCGGAAGCCUGAUGCAGCGACGCCGCGUGGGGGAUGAAGGCCUUCGGGUUGUAAACUCCUUUCGACAGGGACGAAGCGUAAGUGACGGUACCUGUAUAAGAAGCACCGGGCUAACUACGUGCCAGCAGCCGCGGUAAUACGUAGGGUGCGAGCGUUGUCCGGAAUUACUGGGCGUAAAGAGCUCGUAGGUGGUUUGUCGCGUCGUCUGUGAAAUUCCGGGGCUUAACUCCGGGCGUGCAGGCGAUACGGGCUGACUUGAGUGCUGUAGGGGAGACUGGAAUUCCUGGUGUAGCGGUGAAAUGCGCAGAUAUCAGGAGGAACACCGAUGGCGAAGGCAGGUCUCUGGGCAGUAACUGACGCUGAGGAGCGAAAGCAUGGGUAGCGAACAGGAUUAGAUACCCUGGUAGUCCAUGCCGUAAACGGUGGGCGCUAGGUGUAGGGGGCUUCCACGUCUUCUGUGCCGUAGCUACGCAUUUAAGCCCCCCCU
rnacentral:rRNA from 1 species